rnacentral:rRNA from 1 species
UACGUAGGGUGCGAGCGUUGUCCGGAAUUAUUGGGCGUAAAGGGCUCGUAGGCGGUUUGUCACGUCGGGAGUGAAAACUCGGGGCUUAACCCCGAGCCUGCUUCCGAUACGGGCAGACUAGAGUUCGGUAGGGGAGACUGGAAUUCCUGGUGUAGCGGUGAAAUGCGCAGAUAUCAGGAGGAACACCGGUGGCGAAGGCGGGUCUCUGGGCCGAAACUGACGCUGAGGAGCGAAAGCGUGGGGAGCGAACAGG